ensembl:lncRNA
CACCCACACCUCCCCACCCAAAAAAAUAACAAAAAUCAGGGACUGGAACGCUGUGGAAGCGUUUCACGGUCAACACUCGCACAGGGCACAAAUAAGUGUGCUUCUUUCUGGUGGGACACCAGGAAGAAAGGCUCUUUCUAAACCUUUGCCUGGAUGUUUUCUGCCAAUUAACCCCCCCCCCAGGAGAGAUUUGCCUAUCUCCAGCCCCAGCUUUGUGCCGGUGCAGCUCGCGGCGUCCCCCCGCCCCCCCCUCCGUACGUCUCAGGUAUAAUUUGCACGCCUCGGUCAGGUCUGAACUGAAGCGGAUGAGGCGCCUCGGUUUGAAGGCCUCCCUCCUUUAUCCGCCCGACUCCUAAAAGCCGGCCGUAUUUGCAUCGCCUUUCAUUCCCGCCGGCGCGGCGAUGAAAGAGGGCGAGCGAGCCGCGCAAACCUGGGACGACAAAGGGGAGAGGUAGCUAGUGAUUAGCAUACGCAGGAUGCCCCCCCCCCCACCCCCUUCCCCAGGUAUCAUUAUCGCCCCCCAUCGAGGCUCCGGGAUGAUGCCUGUCAGCCUCCAGUGCUCAGCACCUGCAGGGGGGGGGGGUCACGUUUCCUCCCCGGCAGAAAAUAAAAUCUAUAUUUUAAAAGAGGAUACUGUUUUCCAGUCCACCCGACUUCCUGAUCUAAGGACUAGACCCCCCCGCCCCCCCCCUCCUCCAUGACAGCACGUAGCUUUUUGUUUUCCGAAUGCUCUCAGCGUCGCUCACCGACAUGUUUUAUUUACUUUACCCUUUUUAAUGAUGCAAGAGAUUAAUGAAAUUUUGAUCAGCUUACAUUAUUCAACCUGCCCCCCCCCUCGCGGCGGGAGGGGUCUUCUUAAUGUCAUGACACCGUGCUUGUAUUGAAUACAGUACAAACUCCCUCAAUAUUGAUCCCUUUGUUCACCCACAGUGCCAAUAACGCUUUCUUACUUUGAAACUUCCUUCUGCUGAAAACCGGAUCUUUUUUCUUUAUAGGUGAACUACAGCUACAGAGACAUUUUUUUGGAAAAUUUCCUCAAAACACAUUUAUAAAGAGGCAACUCUCUUAUUAACUGAUAUAUGUAUAAACAUGCCUGUUACAUGCACGGUUUUAUUUUGAAGGGGGACCUUGGAUUCAUCCGUAACUCUCUGUGGAGAAGAGAACAUUUAUUUUGAUGUUUCGCAGUGAAUAUUUUAAGCCAACGUUUCUCCGACUGCUCAAACUAAAUAAUAAUGUUAGCAUCCAGGUAAAUAACGCGCUGCGGAUCAGAACACCACUUUUACAAUUUUCGGCAUCACCUCAAACAAGUGUCUCAUGUUGCCUUCUGUCUGCUCGACACACUGACGCAAUACUUUCAUCACCUGCACAGGAGGAAUCACAGGAAUGCUGAAAAAUGGUCUUUCGAAUUUACACGUUCACUUCCUCCGAUACCGCAGUCUCUCUCUCUCUAUGUCUCUAUGUCUCCGUCUCUCUCUCUCUAUGUCUCCGUCUCUCUCUCUCUAUGUCUCUAUGUCUCCGUCUCUCUCUCUCUAUGUCUCCGUCUCUCUGUCUCUCUCCACUCCCGGGGGGAGAGACGUACAGCAGAAGUACCUUUUAGUGCUGUUUACUGCCGUGUGACAGAUGGUGGUCAUUAAAACACAUUUUCAUUGUCUAAUGGUGAAUAACAGCAAUAUUUAAUCCAGUUCAUCCCUAGACAGUUCAAGAGGAAGCUGUAUAGCCAUCUUGUCUUCAAUUUACCGUGCCUGAAUAGAGUACAAUAUAUAUAUAUAUAUAUAUAUAUAUAUAUAUAUAUAUACUGUAUAUAUGGGGACAGAUGCUUUUCCCAGAGCUGCAGCGUGUUGAUUCUUGUUUGAUUGCAUGAGUCAGCCCAGAGUGAAGUGACAAAUAAAAAAUAAAAUGUCCCGCCGCCAGCAAAUCAAGGCUGAUUUCCCGUCCCACAAAAAGGGCGGGAGCCUGAGCUGCUAACAGCCUCCCUCGCGGAGCAGUUGAGACGCUUAGUUCAUUGAAGGUUUAGAAAAUCAAUAUCAGUGGUGGGCAGGCGAGGUACUUAUUCAGAAAUGCAUCCCUGUGUGGAUGGAGAGAGGAGAGGAGCAGGUUUGUCUGUUCUGUGGGGUGGACAUUCACAGUAACCAGUGAUGACAGUUUCUAUUUUUACCCCCCCUCACUCCUCCGACGGGUCCUGAUAUCCAGCAUUGUCACAGCGGUUUGCUGGAGGAGUCCUGUUGGAAAUGAUAGGAAAGGAGAAACACGCUGUACAAAGCAACUCAAUUAUCUGUUAAUGUUGUUUAAAGUAAUCUGCUAAAAUGUUCUCAGAGAGUCAGCGGGAUUUCGAGGACAAAAGCGCUGAAGAAACACGAUUACAAAACGUCCGAAACUCAAACUAGUUCCUUGCGAAGAGGCAGCAAAAACUUUAGAAAAUAAAGAAUCAGCUAAAAAAAGAAUCUCCCGCUCGAAGAGAUUCACAUCUCUGAUCAUCCUCUGAUUUCCACUCAUGUGAAACCACCCAGAUGAGAACCACGAUGGAACGUGCUUCGGCGUCAUCGGUUGGCUUUGUUGGGGGGGGGGCAGACGGGACUGGCUGUCCCCGUCGUGGUCAUUGAAGCCCACGGUGUUGCCGUCACAUGCUGCGGCGUUCCUGUCCUCGCCCCCUCGAGUUUACCGGAUUUCCCCCCGCGGGCCACGCGUUGCACGUUUAACUGUUGUUGUGUGUUAGCGCCUGAGACUCACCCCCCCCACACCCACCCGGGGAGGCUUUCAUGGUGAUAUCGAGCAACCGGGGUGGCAGGAGGAGGACGGCAAUCCUACAAAAGACGAAGAAACUAUAUGUGUACUCAGGAGGGACGGGGGACGGGUCGUCGGAGUGCGGGUGUCCCGUGAGGGGGAUUAGUGCUCAGAACAACGGCUUGAUUAUCGCUGCAGAUGGAAGGACGCCAGCAAGUGACAGCAGCACUUUUGGUCCACGCUGACAUUUCUUAACCCCAUUAGACACACUGGUGAUUCCCUGAAUGCUUCUUGACGUGCUGAGUGAAAUAUCUCAACAUUUUUCCGCUUAAAUUAGCAGAAAAAUUGGUGCAGACAUAAACGGUUUCCAGGCGAUUAAUCUGAAUGACUUUGGUGAUCCUCUGACUUCUCCUCAGACGUUUGUGGUUCGGGGUGAAAUGUCUCGACAACUAAUGACACGUGCAUUAUCCCGAGACUUGGUACAGACAGUAAUGUCCACUUGAUGGCUUCUUACAGGCCUUUUCUCCGACACCGUAAUUGGGUCAAAAUUUGAAUUUGUCAAGAUCUUUGGUGUAUGAGACGGACUAACAGCAUGUAAAGAUUAGAAUUACUAGCUUAGCUGGUGCUAACAGGGUAUUGAGCCGUGGACAAAACUAAUAUGCUGUGAAUUCAUGUUUAGAAAUAGAAAUGCUAAUUUUUCCUCCCAUUGACGUUAGGGGCGUGUCCACGUUUGAUUGACGCCGGCCCCCCGGGACCGCCCGCCUCAGGAUGUGUGGAUGAGGACGGCCUCCGCGAGAACACAUCGGCGUGAUGAUCACGCGCCGCUCGAGGGAAGAAUCCUGCAGCGUUUUCGUUGUUAUACAAAUGCACGAUUUGAAUAUGUUGGCACACCGGAGUCCGUAUUGCAACACUGCAACCGUAUUAAAUAUUUAUACGUGUUUUUUUUUAUUACGUGAACCCCGAUCCCACGUGUCAUUACCCUACUCAUCAAGUAGCGCCUGGCGGUAUUGAAAUGCUUUAUUUAUUACAUGUCGAUUCAUUCAAAACAAGCCUAUGCUUCAGUGAUAGUGUCGUCCCUCCGGGAACAGAAGCGAUUACCAUGCGGGUCUCAGAAAAGGGAGAAAAUAAUCCUAUUGGGUGGGCGGUGAUUCGGGUCGAUCAGCACAUCUCCAACGGGUGCAUUUUCCUCCCCUGAAGAACACCAGAGUGGUAAAAACCUCAGUUUCGUUCCGUGGGUUCAGACCUCCAGCCUGAUUUUCAUUGUAUGAGCAGCUCCGUCUACUUGAGGGCCACACACACGUUUGAGACUUCUUCCUCUGAGAGAAAAGCUCAUUUUCACAACUUUUCUUACAAUGGAAAUAACAUCAAGUCUUUGUAUCAACACUGCAGUUUAAUUGGCAGAGCACUUAACUAUUCUAAUGUAAUUCUAAUUCUAAAGAAGUAAUACUUCUACAUGACCACAAGCAGGAAAAAACCUAAAUAUUAUUUUGCUAUUUUCUGUUCCUCCCGCAAUCAGAUGAAAUCACGCAGGUUUACCAGGUUAAGCUCCCUGCUGGGACACAUCACCCAUCACCUCGCUGCUGGACCCCCGGGCCGUGUUACCGGGCCCACUCGAGGGACGGGAGGACCAGGGGACCCACUGAGUGGAGGAGACUUAAACAUAACAGAAAAAUAAGGUUUUUCUAAAGUGAUUCAGGCGCUUGGAAACAGUACCACCUCCGUCCACAGGGGCCGCCAAAGUCAACGCAGAAUACAAGUUUAUUGUAGCAGCUUUGACUUAAACCGCCUCUAAACAAGUUGUUUGAACAUAUGAUUUAGCUUCAUUGCUACCACGAGGUCAACACUGUGUCUGCAGAUGGGCUUCUACCCUGCAGGCAUUCCUGGCACAAAGACCUCUGGUUUCUGGAGGCAAGAAAUCUAAUCACUUAUUCUCAUUAGACCUUUAAUAUUUAUAGCCCCUGGAGUGUGAAUUCAGCAUAAAAGUAGGACCUUGCCUUCUUGUGCUGUUGCCUUCUAACUCAAAAAAGCUAACCAAGACCGGGAGAAUGCAGCAAUGCUAAUGCACCGAGCGUGUCAACAGGGGAUCACAUACCUUGAGGCACUAAUGUGCACAUUACACAUCACUUAAGUGGUCUUUAGUACGAAUACACGCUAGACCUUUAAUUAUUGCACGCAAGAGAGUGCCAAGCAUUUCAUCUGCUGUUAGUCUUUGUGGAAGGAACGGUACCGUUUGAUUGCUUUGAAAACCAUCAGUGGUUGUGGUUAACUUUGUACUUUACAUCUGAAACGCACUGCAGCCUUUUUAAGUAUUUUUUUUUGUAUUCAUUUAAUGAUGCGGCUGUACAUAUCUUCAUCUCUUUACAACUGGAACGGAUUCAGCUUUUGCGUCAAAUGACAAUGAUUCUCGCUGUUUCCAGGAGAAAAUCGAAGCUUUUCAUUUGAAACCGUUCGCAACAACCUUUGCUGACGUGGAUCUACGCUUCCACGUCAACAAAGCGCCUUGGGGGACAUCGGACAGCCGCCCGACGUCGAUCUCGUAGAUUCGCGCGGACACAAAAGCAAGCAGGAUUUUGUUUGUGUUCGUGAGGGCAGACAUGCACAUCUCAGCGUCCACGGCCUUUGAAUACCGCUGAGCUGAUUCAGACGAUGCGGCUCCGGAGCAGAGUUUGAUGAGGAGGCUUCUCAGA